rnacentral:lncRNA from 1 species
ACCACCCUACGACCUGGAGGCAUCUGUGGACGGACUCGACCAAGGAGCCUGGAGCCAUGCUGAGGAGGCAGGUUCCCAGGACUCGGCUCUAUCCCUCGACCUUCUCUCUGUUCAGGCUCCGUCAGGCGGAGUCCCUUCUGACCUCUGUCCGCGGACAGCGGCAUCUCCAGCUUUCCCUUCAAGAUGCCUGAAUCUCUGUAUGCAGCCACACCCUUGAUGGAGCAGGCUUGCCCUCUGCCUACCCCGUCCCUCAGCAUGUGGCUGUCUCAGGAACCCGGAAGGCUCUGGAGCUGCAGAGAAGUCACUGCCCGCACUGACCGUGGUCUGGAUGGAUGGGCUCCCUGCACCUGCCAGCCUGCGCGGCCCCACCUGGGCAGUGGUUGCAUCGUCUAACCUGGGAGGUCCUUGAGGAAUGCCUCUCAGUGCCUCAGGCCCCUCUCCCUGUCCUGGCAGGGGUGACCCGUGAGAAGCCCAGUGGGCUUACAGUGCAAGAGAGAAAAGAUGCAAAAUAUCGAGUUACUUCUUUAACGUGUGCCAAACAGAAAAACGCAGCCUGGUGCAGCAAAAAUCCAGGUCCUCUCAGACGCCCAGCGGCAGGUCGACCUUCCCGGGGCUCAGAUUCAACGGUGACCGGAUCCCACUUGGGUUUCAGGCUUCUGAGAGGCAGCGCAUCACCUCCAUGAGAAAGGCAGCGUCCUCUUGUGAGAGCAGGAGCCCCCACAGCUAGUUGGCGACCAGGACCAGGACUGGAGAGGAAAGAGGGAGCCGGAGCAGAGCCGGAGCGUCAGCAGACUCUGAGGGUGGCACUCGGAUCCCUUUGACAGGGAAGCGCCCUCUAUUCCUCCAGUUGUCUUGUCAGUGCUGCCUCUGGGGAAGCCCCAAGGAUGGUGCUGAGCGUGAGGUCCCAGCUGGGGGGCCACCGAGGCAGCACCCCGGGUGGCCACCGAGGCAGCGCCCCGCUCUCUGCUGGCCCCUCCCUCCCGUCUUCUGAGCCCUGGACCAGAGCCGCCCCUUCUCUCACUAAGGGCAGGCAGGUUCACAAAGGAGUGAAAAUUACAUUACAACAGACUUGAGUUAACAACAAGGUAUAAGUAUUGGCUCAUCAGUUGUACAAAUGUGGCGCUCCAACAGGAUGCUCAUAACAGGGAAAGUAGGGAGAGCGAGGUAUUUGGGAACUGUCUGCACUUUCCACUAAACUUUUCCAUGAUCUUAAAACUGCUGUAAAACGAAGUCUAUAAGCUAAAAAAAAAUGAAACAAAUGGAAAAACCUUGUAUUCUAAAAGACUGAAAUGAACCAGCUGGCUUAUGACAUCCUGGAAGAUUCAUGUUUUUCUCAAUUCGUUUCUUGAGUUCUGCAGCAAAUGUGUGACCCAUUGGUUAUGGGGGGGGGGGACAAUGACCGCCACAAGGAGAUGGCACAGGGUGUGACGUCCACACUGGCCCGUCCCAGGGAAGGACUUGCCCUCCAGGCCCAUCACUGGGGACCCCCACACACGCGGGCAGGGAAGGUGUGCACCAGGUCCCGUGCUUCCUGAGGGAGGGAGGGCCCUGCUGCCUCAAGGCUUUCGCUCUGCAACCCCUGCGAGGGUGCGUGGCCCUCCUGAUCCUGGUAGGGCAGCCCAGCCCCGGAUGCUGGUAAAGGGACAGCUGGAGCAUGGCUCCCACGAUGGUCCCCAUCCUCCU